GCCUCAACAAGCCCAACAACCAACAACCAACAACCAACAACCAACAACCAACAACCAACAACCAACAACCAACAACCAACAACCAACACAUUUGCCACAGGAGAGUAGCUGCGACCGAACCCCGCCUCACCGACGCAAUAGAGGGAGUACUGCGAAGGAAAAAUGAAAGAUUAUCAUAAGCAAAAAAAAGCAGGACUUAGAGCCCGUACCUUUUGCAUCACCGUUUAGCAAGAAUACGCAGACAAAAAGACUUCCAGCCUGCCAUCCCGAAUGCAAGUGAGCUAUUUUUAGGCAGUAAUUGAACUAACCCAUUUCUGUAGCAAAAGGACGGGAAGACCUAAAAAUAGGGGCGAAAAACCAACCGAACUUGCCGAUAGCUGGUUGCCCGAAAUACGAACUUUAGUUCGAACUUGGGUAACAGUAUACAUAAUAACCAACCCUUUACCCAAAAACUAGUCAAUGAAGGUACAGCUCCAUUGACCAAGGAUACAGCCUCCACCAGAGAGUAACACAACCAACAUCAACUGUUGGCCUCAAAACAGCCACCAAAAAAAAUCACGUUACAGUAACAGGAGAAAAAUUCCUAACUUAUUAACCUCCUGGUAAUUACCCCGGGCCACUCUAUUAAAAUAUAGAGGAAACCAUGCUAAAACUAGUAAUUUGAAACAUUCUCAAUAGACAAAAUUCUAUCAUUAUCAGACCAAAAACGGAAACAUGGAACCUGCUCAACGCACCAUACCCACUACUGUAAAACCAACCCAGGGUUGUCUAUAGACAGACCAAAAGCCUAAAAAGGAACUCGGCAAACCCACCUGACCUUUCCAGCUGUUUACCAAAAACAUAGCCUUUAGACACUAACCAUAUUAAAGGUCCCGCCUGCCCAAUGAGACCCAAACUCUUAAAUGGCCGCGGCAAAACCGUGCAAAGGUAGCAAAAUCAUUUGUCCUCCAAAUAGGGACCAGUAUGAAUGGCCACAUGAGAAAGACACUGUCUCUUUAGGCCCGCCAAUGAAACUGAUCUGUCUGUAAAAACGCAGACAUUAAAAAGCAAGACAAAAAGACCCUGUGAAACUUUAAGUGCCCGUCACAACAAUGAUCAAAGCACUUUUGGUUGGGGCAACCAAAGAGAGACACAAACCUCUUAAGCAGUCAUACGGCAGACAAGCCAAAUGACACCACCUUAGACCCAGUAUUACUGAGCAAAGGACCAAGCUACUCCAGGGAUAACAGCGCCACAUUCUUGAAGAGUCCGUAUCAACAAGAAUACCUACGACCUCGAUGUUGGAUUAGGAUACCCCAAUGGCGCAAAAGCUAUUAAAGGUUCGUUUGUUCAACGAUUAAAAUCCCACGUGAUCUGAGUUCAGACCGGAGCAAUCCAGGUCGGUCUAUAUCUGCUAAAAAUCUUCAUCCAGUACGAAAGGAUCGAUGAAGAAAGGGCUAUUUUAACAACACCCCUUACACCAAAAACUGCAUGAAAAUUAAGUUUUCGUGACCACACCCCCCCCCCAAGAAAAGGGGCAUACUACACGCCUAACGCAUUACAUUUGCC
rnacentral:rRNA from 1 species